rnacentral:rRNA from 1 species
GGGAGAGAGGGGGAAGGAGAGGUGGUAAUACGGAGGUGGGAGGCAGUAAGCGAAAUGAAUGGGCGGAAAGGGGGGGUAGGAGGUUGAUUAAGUCGGGUGGGAAAGCCGACGGCUGAACAGGGGAGGGGGAGGGGAAACUGGGAGAGUGGAGGGCAGGAGAGGAAAGUGGAAGUCCAUGUGGAGCGGUGAAAUGCGUAGAGAUAUGGAGGAAGACCAGUGGCGAAGGCGACUUUCUGGUCUGUAACUGACACGGAGGCGCGAAAGCGUGGGGAGCAAACAGGAUUAGAUACCCUAGUAGUC